GAGGAAGUGGAAUAGGCAGCGGUACAGGACUCGGCGGGUAGAUACGGCGGCGGCGGCUGCCCGAUCGAGGAGGAGGUACCGAGGUGGGUACGCGGGGGAGGGUUAGAGGUAUCGGAGGUUGCUGGUUGAGGUAGAGGACGGAGGACGUUGAUCAGGACGGUCACGCGGCGCAGGCGGCGGCCACUUACGGGAAACGUUCCUGACGGGGAUCGGGGAGACGUGGCCACGAGGAGCCAGCAGGGGCCGGGAAACGGACCAGCGAUCCCUGCACGAUGAGGUGCGGACGAGGAUGGCCCCCGGCGGCGGACGGCGCAGCCGAGACCGCGAAACAAGGCCGGUUAGGGCCCGACGAGCGGACGAACCGGCCUGAGACGGCGGGUCCUGAACGUCAGUUGUUUGUCGUUCGUCCGACCCUGUCCCUUUUUCUUCUCCUUCUAUAUAAAGUAACGUUCAAAGUUGUGGGUCACAAAGUCAACCUGACUUAGUUGAGGUCUUUAACCUUGUUGGUAUCUAACCUGGUGGCGGAAACCGAAGUUUGUUGGGCGGAAGUUAGAGUUGAGCUCUUUCACGGAGAAAACAUAGGGUAUGAGAAAAAAACUUCAAAAACCGUACAAAAAUAGAUAAAACAACAUAGUAAUUCUUAGCUCAAAUUUAAGAUCUCUCUGUAUGGUAAACAGGUUUUCAUAGUUCGUAACCUACAUUUCACCUGUUGGAUAAGCCAUGACUUUGUUAUAUACAUCGUACAUACUUCGACUUAGUACGAAUAUUGUGACUUCUCGUGUCAUUGAAGGUAUUACGUUCAUUCAUCGACGUUAGAAGGUCCUAAAAAAUAUUUAUUUAGUCGUUGUACGGUGAGUGGAUUCAACAGAAAAGUCGCAUAGGAUGGUACGCGGUUACUCCGUUCACCAUCACAUAGGAUUUUUAUGGGAAAAGGACUUCCACAUUUGUGUACGUCGUUGACUAACACACGUAAUCUUACGUGACAAACUAUUAAUGAGAGAAUCCGGAACGAACGAUUGAAACAUUUUUAUACGCUGGUCGAUGGGAAGUUGUUAACGUUCAGUGAACCCCUGACAAACCAAAGUUCGGUUUACAACGGUCUGGAUACCAAUCCGUGUGUAUUAAAGACUCCACUCACCCACGAGUCAACCGAGUGUGCCAACACCGAACGCUGAAAUGAUCAGUGUACUAAUUCCUCAUAUAAAACCGGUGUGAAAACACCGUUCGGUGUGAGACAGGGCUCCCCAUUGUUAAUGAUGAAAACCGAAUCAACACCGUUUCAUUCGAAAAUUGGUUUGAUCCCACAAUUUAACCAGAAUUCAAAGUUAGAUCAUAACAUCUAGUAGUGUAUACAAGAGACAAAGAACAAGUUACUACAGAAUAGACUGAGUAAUUAGUCAAGUUGAAUUAUAGGGAAAAGGAUAAUAGGAAUCUCGUUUAUCUAUACUGCACAUACGUCACGUCGGGUGAUUAAUAAAUCUAACGUAACGUUUGCGGGAAAAUGUGUACGAAAAGUAAAAAGUAAGUCCACCGACGUGUAUAGGAGAUCCAAAGACAUUAACCCUUCCUCACAUAAAGGUCAUACCACUAUUGACAUAUAUAUUAUUAUGACUGACACUAGUAACCGGAAAAAAAUGGAAGACAACAUGGAACUAAAAACAUAUACCACGAAUGGACUCUACGUGUUCUAGUAGUUUCGUCCCUUUAAUUGUAUCAACAAAAAAAUUUCGUGGGAUAAUAUACCAAAAAUACGAGUCAAACCUAUGAAUCUAUCAGGUUGUUAGAAUCAUCAAAACGUAUUCCUUUCUUCAGGGAUGUCGCUAAUCUUUCUCAUUUAUAAAGAUCUAUUAACUUCCGGGACGUAUAUAUUAUGGUUAGUACACGGGACAAAAUAUAAAAACAAACAAGUACACCACACACAAAGGAAAGCUACAUCGGUCUCAACCCUAAUCCCCCUCUUUCUACCGUCGUAUACACGUUAACAUAACUUGACUCACCGCAGAAACGUAUGAUCAAUUUGGAUGUUACCGUGUAAGGAAAACUACAAAAAGUUAAGUUCCAACUACUUUAUAAAAUCCUAGGUUAGUAACUUAAUUUUAUAGAUACAUAAGGUACUAAAAGAACGUUUUUCUAAAUUUAGUCGAAAGUAGAGAAUUUAUUGUGUACACUUCAAUAUGUGACUGUAUACAAAAAAACAAAGUAAUGAAGCCGUAUAGUUUCCCGCUACCUAGCUCCAAGCUACUCAGUCGGUUCUCGAUCACGACGAAUGUUUCUACCACAGCUCGUUAAAGACAGAAAACGUAAGGUACUACAAGGCCGACCACUAUCUUAAGAGACAGGAACACAUUUAACGGCUUUAUUUCCAUACGUCUCAAUACUACCUCACUUUUGAGUGAACUCUACACUACCAUAAGAAGUUCCAAUGUGAUUCACCCAAACGGUACCUCUCCUAAUGUCACUUGGUAGUAAACGUAAACGAGUACAUAGUCUAUUGUCACCGUUAAAAAGAUAAGGACCGUAGGGUUCCUUACAACAACCUCUUCCGUUUGUACCUUCCUACCUACUGUACGGUCCUGAGAAUUCACUACAGAAACGAUACCGAUUGUCAACACUUAGAAAUAGUUCGUGUAGACUACCACUUAAUAUACCGCAACUUAAACUCUUAUACCAUGGAUUAAGUCAACUCCUACUCUUACGUCUACGAGUUUGUUCCUUCUUUGGAUUAUGCAUACGUUCGAAGAACCCCCUACGUUUGUGUUUCAAUAUGGGACCUACAUUUCGUAAAAGAUUCAACAGUAAAGAGUAGUGGAACAUAGUGUACUUUACGAAUGUACCUACCAGUGUUCUUAGUAAAUGUUGCGAUGAACCACAAAACAGACUACGUGAAGGUGUCCGUGUUGAUGGUUUCUUCAUGAUACUCCAUGUUUUUUAGUAGGUACUGAAUCCGGAACUGAUGCUCUUUUAAGUACGUACGGGGUUACUAGCGUACGAAAAGGCUCCACUUGCUCGACUAGUUCUCAGAACGGUACACACACCGUCGAGCGCAACCCAAUGUUUACUCUUCUUUCUGAGGGUUCGACUUAGACAUAGAUUCGUCUUCUUCUUUGAUCGGUUCCACAACGCAAUGAAAGGAAACUAUGGCUCCUAAGUUUCCGAGAAACGUUGUUCUUUUUGUAGUCUACUGUACACAACCGUGCUACUCCCAGCAUGAUUUCUACCUUUCUAUACCGUAGGUCGAUUACCGCUCACAACCUUUCUAGAACUACGAUCUAUGGGGUCAAAACAACAACUAGGAGCAUUAGGCGCGGAACCGUAAAACUCACUACCUAAAUUGGGAAAAGCCUCAUACUCAAGUUUUGUAUCAUGAACCGGUCACUACGAAUAGGGCAUGUUGGAUGGCGGAACCUAAACGUACUUUCUUUGUAGAGAUUAAAAUAGCUACUAGUAAGGACCUGGUCGAAGGGGACCCUUACUGUAACUAUAUAUAUAAACGUCGGUGACUAACUACUCGAGAAUGUCAAUACCCUACCACAUCUGUGUAAACUGCGAAGGAGCAUCCUCUAUAAAGGUGAGUUCCGACGUAUCAAUACCUGAAAUUUACUAAAAGGUCGUAAUCGAAUGGACAUACCAACCUCGUGUUCACCAUUUAUACCCACAGGUAGUACACCAGGAAGAUGUUCUAGUAAAGCGGACCUAUUCUCAUACUUUGAAACAAUAUACCCAGUAGCAGCAACCAAUGGUGUCCCAGUACAUAAAGCUUUGGCUUCUUCCGCCCUUAAACUACCGUGAUUUCUCUGUCUUAACCGUGGCUGUUGAUACUCACCAUCAAGUCGAAACUUUUACAACGUUCCGUCUCACAAACACAAUCCGUUUUUUCCGUUACAUCGUUUCUUUCGUUUCCCACCUUUCUUCCAGUUUUUGUCACUUUUUCUUUUACUUUUCUUAGUUCUUGGCUUCGUAUUUUCCUUCCUUCCGUUGUUCUUCAGUUAAUUCUUGGUUCCAUUCGGACUCUUCUUCGGACUCCUAACCAAGUUUUUUAGUUAUAAAAAGUUGAACGGUAUAACCCUUGAAUUGUUCAAUUCCGUGUUAGAGCUACAUUACGUGUAUCUUUUCUUACACAAACUAUUAAAUUAACCUUGUAACAACCUAUAACUAAGAUUUUGUUUCCUACCGGAAUUACGUACCGAACUAAACCGUCUUUAACCACUUUUACCUUAAGCUGCAUUAGAAGUAGGAUGAUAUCUACUAUUACCUUUUCAUCAUAACGGACUACGUGGUAACUGAUACAGAGGUUUUUUCGUUCUUUAUGAAACAAAUCACUACGUGUUAUAAUCCUGGAGGCUACCUAUACGUAGUUUAAAAAGAUCCGUACAGUUGUACUUUCUAACAUGUUAGAGUCCAGAGUUUUCAGUACUAACAGUACAAUAAGACCUUCUAUAAGAAGGAGAUCGUGAAGCUAGGACAAUGGGUGUGUUUCUCCAGUACCUUUAUCAAUAGACCGACAGAUUAAAGAAGUUCUUUGAUACGAGCUUUCACAAUAUACAGAGACUCGAACUGCUUGAAGUUCUCUCAUAACACUACUGUGAAACGUUAUACCUCUCUUAAAAAGAAGGUAGUAAGAAAUGAUAGUACCACGUAGAUUACCACGUGAAUCAACUUCUUCAAUGUGAACCACCAGGUCACGUGAUAGCCACCUACAUGGGGGAUCUCUCUAGUAAACGAACCGACUUUCGUGAACACGCGUUAUCUCGUAAAGGACUUCCAAGUUAACGACUUCCCAUAGAACGGGUUCUUACGAACUGGAAAACAAUUUCUAAAGAUCUUCCUUGAUGUGCAAAAUGUUCUGGUAGUUCUUUGGGACUAGGAAGUUUGUUCUAUUGGCGACGUCUAAGACAGUACUGGAGUUCUCUGUAGUUACAUGACCCAUCGGUGAAAGGAUUAACGUAGAAGGUAGAGCGACCAUGUCCUUCAUUGUAUCACGUGACUAAAUCGACACGAUUGAGCCAGUAGCCCCGAAACAUUACAAAAUGAUUCCGAACUGGGAAACAAAUAAAGAUUAGAACGAACAUUUCUAACAUAUGACUGGAGUACAAAACGUUUGACUUUUAGACUUCGUAGAGCAACAUCUAACACAGUACUCGAGUUCUCUGUAGUUCUAAUUGCUACCGCUCCUAUGGUUCUGCUGAAGUCCUGAACUUGGCAUGUUACGUACUACGUUUUGUACACGUCGAACGACUUCUUUUAGACGUUCCAGGAGGUUUCUAACUAUUAUAUCAUGGUCCUUCUAGAGUACUUAGGUGAUCGGUUUAGUUCUAUUAAACCGGUUUACCUCUCUGCGCCAUCUAACAUCCCCCCAAAGCCGACUUCUUAAAUAGGGUCUCUUGAGGUGUAAACGUGGUGACUUGUAAGGUUCUGCCCUGUUACUUAAUAAACAGGUCUCUUUCUUGUUGUACUAGUUCCUACAUCUCCUCUUUAAACAGAUAGGUAGACUCUGUUUCGUCGAAUGUGCUCUGACCCAGGAUUACUGACAAACGUUUUCUACCUCUCGGAUGUUUAGAGCGAACUUCUUUUUUAUAAAGUUUGCCUUUCUCUCUAGAGAGGUCCUUUAAUAAUCACUACAAGGUUAUCCACAAUUAUUCGUAGUUGCCCUCUAAGAUCAACCUUACACCACGGUCCUAAGUGUGUACUUCAAUACGCUCUUUUUGAGUCUCACACACUUCGUUGUCUUCUUAGGUGUGUGUUGGCCCUCUUUUUCGGUACAGUCCGAUGUUUUUCUCUACCUUUAGUUUUCCUUUCGUGGCCAGGUGUUCUAACUGGAUACCCUACUUCGAGUAUUCUUUUUUCUACCGUUAAUGUGUUCGCUCUUACACUUCUGUUAUUACCUACGUUGAUUACUCCUCAAUUUUUUUUCCUUUUAGCUAGUAUUACCAUCGGAAAGGUAACUGCUAAUAUGAUUUCGGAAAUUUCCACGUGAACUAUUUUCCCGUUUUGAAACUCCAAUGAUACUACUUUUCAUAACCUCGCCUCAUUUACAAAGAGUCCCUUAUUGAAAACAACCCUUUAGACUGGUUCUUUUAGAAGUCAAACUUCAUGCGUACCACUUUCUAUUACAUCUUCUACAGUUUCUACUACAUCUCCUACAGUUUCCACUACAUUUCCUUCAGUUUCCACUACAUCCCCUACAGUCUCCAGUCUACCGAUACUAACGACGUAAGGAACGGUUUUUCAAAGGACCUCUCUAAACGUCUUUACUUCACCUAAGAGCAUGUCUUUUAGUAGUUCAGUGAGGUGUACUGUCUCUAUUGUUAGAGGUUAGACUUAGAAUAUUACAAGAACUUGUUAGUUUAUUACUACACAUCCUCGGUGUUUGAUGGUACGUACUCAACGUCGUUUGGUUUAGUUUUCUCCCAACACCGUUACACGUAAAUGGUGUACUUGUACACUAGUGAUUCUUACAGGUACAACUUUUAUUAGAACGUCACGUCGUUCCACCGGGGCUUGGUUCAAAUGCUGAAGUGGUUCAGUGACUGGUCCUAUUUCAACUUCAGUACAACAUAAGCUGCUUGAACUCUUUGUUUCUGUUUGAACACCGGUUUCCUUGAAAUCUCUCAUUUCUCUUUUGUAUACACCAACCUCCUUUGUACGAACCUCACGUUAUGCAACGUCAAGCACAAGCGCCGACAUGUAUAGAUCCUCUACUCUUUGAUCAAUCUGGUAUACUUUUUAAGGUUUGACAUUCCCUACGAUACCCAAGACAAUAACGAACCGGAGCGAGUGUACAUUUUUAUCAAUUCGGUUGGGGAGGUCGUGUUAGUGUCUCGUAACCCGCCACUCCUAAACUUUUCACUCACGUAAUUUCCUCGAUCCUCACCGACCCCUCGUGAACUUUUCCCUCACGUGAUCUCCUCAGCCCUCAUCAACUACUUAGUUAGAAAUUUACUUGUUUAUAAGAUCUAAUACAUAUCUUAAAUCGAAGUAUCUGUUUUAAUCAAGGUCAGACAUCCUAGAAAAGAAUAAAUAAACGUAGUAGCGUACAAAGUAUACUUACAAUGUAUAAUAAGUCGACACUUGAGGUUCAUGAAAAUCACCUCUGUAACAAGGACGAUUAAUUACGUAACCUACAACAAUGACUCCAACAGAAGCAUACUGUUAUAAUAAACUGGU
rnacentral:rRNA from 1 species